UACAGAGGGGGCAAGCGUUAUUCGGAAUUACUGGGCGUAAAGCGCGUGUAGGCGGCCGAUUAAGUCUGGUGUGAAAGCCCGGGGCUCACCCCCGGAAGUGCGCUGGAAACUGGUCGGCUAGAGUAUGGGAGAGGAAAGUGGAAUUCCCGGUGCAGCGGUGAAAUGCGUAGAUAUCGGGAGGAACACCAGCGGCGAAGGCGGCGACCUGGACAGUAACUGACACUCAACUACGAAAGCGUGGGUAGCAAACAGG
rnacentral:rRNA from 1 species